AUUGAACGCUGGCGGCAGGCCUAACACAUGCAAGUCGAGCGAGCGGCGGGCGCGUGCGUAAUGUAUGGGGACUGCCCGAUAGAGGGGGAUAACUACGGGAAACGGUAGCUAAUACCGCAUACUAUCGGAUAACCCAUAUGGGAUUAGCUAGUAGGUGGGGUAAUGGCUCACCUCGGCGACGAUCCCUAGCUGGUCUGAGAGGAUGAUCAGCCACACUGGGACUGAGACACGGCCCAGACUCCUACGGAGGCAGCAGUGGGGAAUAUUGCACAAUGGGCGCAAGCCUGAUGCAGCCAUGCCGCGUGUAUGAAGAAGGCCCUAGGGUUGUAAAGUACUGUCAGUCGGGAGGCGUUACCGACAGAAGAAGCACCGGCUAACUCCGUGCCAGCAGCCGCGGUAAUAC
rnacentral:rRNA from 1 species